GUCGAUUUAGUCGCUGAUGGCCGAGGCGGACGUAAUUGUGGGAUGAAGAAAUUGGAGUCCCAUUCAGCAGUACGAUUCUUGACCCAAGUGGUCAAAUUCUUGACUUUGUCGGCUUUCUCGGGGACGGCAAGUGUGGCAUAUGUAAAUAGGAGAAGCUUUCUCCAACUACCUUCCUCACCAGACUCGACAACCUCCUUUAAAAGUUUGGUAAGGCAGUUGGCGACAGCCAUCCUAGCACCUCGAGGUACCCUCCGCAAAGUGGGUGUGGUCGUCUUGAGGCCGGCAAGGAUGUCACCUAAAUUCAUUCCAGCUUGUUGCUGGGGUUCUGGUGUCGGCGCAUCUUUCCACUGGAUGCCCUCAUAUAAGUCGUGAGAAUUGCCCCUCGAGCCUAUGCGACGUGUUUUAAUGCUGGGAAAUGCAGAUUUACUAAAUUUCCCCAAGGUGGCUUGAGUAACUCCUGGAUUUCCGGACUCGAUUAUAAAUGUGGAAUAUUGAGCAAAUAUUUCGGUCUUGCUGAUUUGUAUUUUUGUUUGUGUAUUGGGGUCGACAGAAACUAGGGAUUGCUGUAUCCACUGCUUUGCUGCUGCUGCUAUUUCUUUCUUACUUAACCCAGACGUUGUAAGAUGACAAGAUGAAGUGGGUAUGAAUUGUGUUUGUGUGAGGAGAGUGACGCAUCCUGGGCAAAACCAAUCUUCAUCUGGAACGACAAUUAGUGCAACACAUUUCAGAUGAUACCACUUUGAGCAUUGGUCGCAUAGUAUCCAGUGAUCUCCUGUAACGGUACUUGCUCCCGGACAUGUUGGAAUCGGGCAGUGGUCAGUUUCGAUCUCUUGGUCGAUUAUUUCUUCUCGAUUGGCUUCAUCGUCGUCCUCGUCAUUUACUCCAGAAAAAUUAGGAUGGAUAGCAGUUCGAGUUGUAGGGUUGUGAUAAUUUAGGUUCGACAUUGACCUCAAUUUUUUGUGUCUUUUUUGGUAUCUUAGGAACACUGACAUUGUAAUAUCUACGAGGUGGCGCAAAUGGCGUAAACCAAACCCCUCCUUCAGGUUUCGUACACUCAUCAAGUACUACAACAUAUCCAAAGGGCAUCAAAAUCUAUCAUAGGUCAAGGGCUUUCCUCCUAAGGGUCUAAAUUUAAGAAGAACCAAACAAUAUUGAUGACUUUAAAUCUAUUGGAGUCCAAGGCCAUUCCUGAAGGUGACUGGUUCUGCGCAAACUGUCCCCAAAUAGAUACACAAAUAGGCCCCCAAAUAAACUCAAACACAUCGUCGCCAGCAAAUCAAUCUUAUCUAGGCACACAUAUUCAACUCACACAGUCAAUCCCCUUUACAAAUCCACGUGCAUCACAACCAAUUUCUACAUUAAGUACACCACUUUCAAAUUUUAUAUCUAGCAAGGAAACAUGUACAUCCCUUACAUUAGAAUGGCUAAAUAACCACAUAGCACCCGGGGGGGUAAUUGAGAAAGCUAUAUUACAUGACGCUUAUAGACGAGACUCCUUAGGCAUUUUUAAACCCAUUAACGAUGCAGAAAUGGGUAAAUUGAUAAAAAAUUCAUUUUCAAACAUUAGGACCAAACGAAUUAGGACAGAACUUCAUGGCACUUCGAAGUAUCAUUACGUAGGGAUUCAGUUUAAAUCAGAACACAGUGCUGACUCGGUUUUUGAUUUCCAAACUAUCAUUUCAUCUCUUAGGCAAAAUUGUCCUACUCUUAAACAAUGUCCAAAGGCCUGUAGGAUCCCUGUAGCCCAAGUUCUUAAAUCCGCCGUAGAUAAAUGUAUAAGUGAAAACACUCCAGAGGCAUGGCAUCUCCUUUUGACCUUUCCAUAUAUUACAUUGCAAUGUGAAUCAAAGGCAAAUAUUAAAAAUGGUCAAAGCCUUAAUAGCAAAAUCCGAAACAACUUAUCCAUAUUUGAAUCUUUGGACAAAAAUACAUAUCAGGAUUAUCUCAUUACUCUCUCUUCCAAAAAUUCAGCCCAUGAUAAACCAGGUAGCACCAUCAAGGACAUUGGGCCAAAAGUCAUAUCUAAAGUAUCCGAAGGAAAUAUUCGUGGUGCAAUUCGGCUUUUAACUUCAGAUGAUAUUAUCGCCCCAAAUUCUUCAGAAACUCUGGAAACACUUGUAGAAAAGCACCCACCACAACCUUUAGAUAAUUUUACUGUUUUAGAUGAGCCUAACAUUCCACCUUUUACAACAACAGUCGAACAGGUUAUCUCAGCAAUAUUCUCAUUUCCUAGUGGUUCAGCAGGGGGUUUAGAUGCAUUACGACCACAAAUUCUGAAAGAUUUAGUUUCACAACAUACUGGUGACGUAGGAACUCAAUUGUUAGAAUCUAUGACAAAAUUUUGCAAUUUUAUGUUAGCAGGAAAAGUGCCUUUAGAUAUUUGUCCUUUCAUUUAUGGCGCAAGUCUGACGGCCCUUAAAAAGAAAUCAGGUGGUAUUAGACCUAUUGCAGUAGGUUGCACUUAUCGUAGAAUAGUUUCAAAAAUUUGUGUCAAGGUCAUGAAUCAUGUCUUUCAGGAUUAUUUUAGUCCAGUCCAAGUAGGUUUCAAUGUAAAAAAUGGUGCUGAAGCAGGAGCACACGCUGCCCGUAGAUUCUUUUCCUUUCCACAUAAGUCACCCACAGCCUUUCUUAAAAUAGAUUUCAAAAAUGCUUUUAAUAUGGUGGAUAGAGGGAAAUUGCUUUCAUCCGUUCACGAACUUGUACCAACCUUGUAUCCUUAUAUUAAUCAGUGCUAUAGAUUCUCAUCCAGCCUUGUCUGGAAUUCUUCUUUAAUUGAAUCAUGUAGAGGUGUUCAACAAGGAGAUCCGUUAGGUCCACCACUUUUUUGUUUGAUUCUAUAUCCAGUCGUUUCAAAUUUAGGGUCAGAAUUUAAUAUGUGGUACUUGGAUGAUGGUACAUUAGGUGGCGAUCCUACUACAGUUUUAGACGAUUUCAAACAUAUUAUCUCGUGUGCAAAUGAAGUAGGUUUAGAAUUAAACUUUGAUAAAUGUGAGGUUUCAGUUUUAGGUCUACAAACCAACACGCAAUGUAUACUAGAAUCUUUCCAAUCAGUUGCACCAGGUAUUUCAUGUAUGACUCAGGAAAAUGCUGAACUUUUAGGUGCACCUUUAACGUAUGAAUCAAUUGAGCACGUUUUUCGCAAAAAGAUUAACGCUUUUUCUAAUAUGGCAGGUCGAUUAAACUCCAUUCCCAACCAUAUUGCGUAUUAUCUCUUGAAACAUUCUUUAGCGAUUCCACGAUUAGUAUACCUACUGAGGGUAGCCCCAAUUUUUAAAUCUCCUCACUUGCUAGAAGAGUUCGAUUCUUUGCUCCAUGAUACUUUAGAACAGAUUACAAACUGCCAAAUUAAUCCUCUAUCUUUAGAAGAAAUAGCUUUGCCGGUUAAAUUAGGAGGUUUGGGAAUUAAACAAUCGAAAACUUUAGCAACUCCAUGCUUCCUUGCAUCUUCAUUUGCCACUACAGAUUUGGUUUCUUUAAUUUUGCCCUCAUAUGUCACUGCUUUGUCCGAUUCACUUGUGACCGAGGCGCAAGACUUGUGGAAGUCGAUUAGUUGUGAUGAACUACCUCGCAGUACAAUUUCCUCUAUUCAAUCAUCAUGGGAAAUCCCAAUUUUUAAUCAAGUAUGUUCACGUAUCCUGGAUUCAUCCACCACCCCAAUUAAUACCGCUAGGAUUUUGGCAUCUCGGUCAAAAGAGUCAGGUGCAUGGUUGCAAGCUUUACCAUCCAGGAAUUUAGGCACACUUUUAGACGAUAAUUCCUUUAGGAUUGCAAUUGGUUUGAGGUUAGGUUUAAAAUUGUGUUUCCCCCAUAAAUGUGUUUGUGGUACACAAAUAGAUGAACUAGGAUUACAUGGCCUUUCAUGUAAAAAAAGUGCUGGCAGGCACUCUCGACAUACACAAUGUAACGACAUAAUAAAGAGAGCCUUAAUUUCUGCAGACAUACCAAGCAUUAGGGAACCAUUAGGGUGUUGUAGGACAGAUGGAAAAAGACCGGAUGGUCUAACACUAAUACCUUACAAACAGGGACGCUCACUAAUAUGGGACUUUACAUGUACAGACACUUUUGCCCCCUCUUAUCUCUCUCACACACUUAGACAUGCUGGCACAGCAGCAAAACUAGCCGAGACCAAAAAACACAAACUUUACUCUGAACUUGAAAAACAAUAUAUCUUUGUUCCGGUGGCUGUCGAGACAUCAGGAGUAUGGGGGAUGGAAGGGUUGAAGUUCAUCCAAGAUGUUGGGAGGAGGAUGAAGGAUGUCACUGGACCAAUGUCAACAACAUUUCUCAUUCAACGGAUCAGUUUGGCAGUUCAACGCGGGAAUGCGGCAUCAAUCAUGGGAGCUGUCCCCAGUCAACGAGGAUUAGAAGAAUUAUUUUAUAUUUUAAAUGAUAGGUCGUUUUAUUUACAAAAAUCCUGUAAGGGGCCGAAUGGUGAUCUCGGACGCCUAUCCGGAUCAAGUAAAGGUUUUCCCAACCCACCAACAUCGGGUUUUUCCUCUACUCCCCAAGCCAACUAAGUGUAUUUCAUACUUUAUCAAUCUUUAUGUUAAUAAAUAAUUUUAAAACAAAAAAUUUUUCAUACACAUGACACAAUAUGCUUUGUGCUUGUAUAUUGGUAUUUAUCACUGUAUGGUGUAAGGAGGUUUGAGCAACGUACAUAUAAUAUACAUUUUUAACUGGUCAAGUCGUUUAAUAAUAUAACCAUGUAGAAGGGCGUAGGUGCAACAUAUAAUUUAAUAAAUUUCAAUGUAUUACAAUUUCUCAACACUUACAAAAAAUAUUAAAAAAUCAGUGGUUACAUUAUCCACACUAAUUAUGGGUGCCAGAAGAUGUACCGGUACAACCAUAUUUACCCAUGUACACAUAUGUAUACAUAGGACAGAAUACUAACCUAACCUUUACAAUUUACACAUUAUGACAUCAACAGAAAUAAAUUGGUUAUUUAAUAUUGCAGUGCAGUAUAAACUUGUUACAAAAUUCAGGCAUGCCUGAUCAUAAGAAUUCAUCAAUUAGUUCUGUUUGAUUCUUUGGAAUUUUACAUCAAGUUAGAAAAGUGCAGAAUAUAAAUAUACACAUGUACAUAUGUGCUGAAUGGAGCUAACUAUUAUUCACUUCGAUUAAAUAUACCAGACACUAUAAUGACUAUUUUUAUUACUGCCAGUCUUAAUUUUCUCAAUCCUUCCAGUCUAAUCUACAAAACUACAGUAAAGGAUCUCAUUCUUGUUUACAAGUGGCAACCAAACCUUGAACAUUAAGGUUAUAUUGGCGAGUCACCGCACAGUUGCAUGCGGAUUUUUAAUCAAUAAUUUGACGCUUCAAAAGUGAUAAGAUAAUGAGAUUUUAACAUAAAAUAUCAAAAUAAGGUUGAUGUCCAUCAUCCUCUGUUGAAGUCAGUUGUCUCAUCAAAGACUCGUGUCAGUUAUUCAACAGGUGACCGCAUAAGCACACAUUUAUUGGCGUGCACCAUUGCGAUUAAUAAUUUUAAAACGAUUUUAAAACGUUAUACAAAGACCAAUAAUUUUGGAAAUUAAAACAUUAUACUAAAGCACCAUUUUCUAUUAACCGACAUCAAUAAAUUGUAGAUUUUGCAUGAAAUAAACCUGAAAAUAAAUGCAAAGCAGAAAUUAAAUGCAUGCUCCUUUUGUGUAAAUCUGUGUAAUUACACAAUCUCAGUGGUGAAUCUAGUGAUGAUGUAACUUGUUUAUUCUUACAAGUACUAAAUAUUUGAGUGGUAGAUAGAGUAUUCUUUAGAUUUUGCGUAUUGGUGGUUCGAUCAUCGGUGGUGUGUGGUGUCAGAAUGAGUGUAUUCACACAUUAAUCUGCAGCCUUUUAAUCAAAUCACGUUUGACACUUGAGCUAGGAUUCAAGACAUUCAGUGUCUUAUUAUAUUCUUAUGAUGAGAGACAUUGUGCAUUAGAAGCUGCAGUAUGUCCAAGGAUUUUUCGUUGGAUUAAUCCAAGCAAGACUCCUAAAGUUUACCAGUCGGUAACUGUGAACGGGGUAUUAUUUCGGUCUGAAAGCAGCAAUGAAUGAAGCCAGAAAUAUAUUUAUGCAAAAAUAAAGUGUAAAUCUCAGCUGGUCUCUUGGUCUGCAAGUAUUAUUUGGCAACGCAUUGCAUACACAAAUGCAAUACUGACUGACAAUAUGUAAUUUCUGUGUUAAUUUCUCACGUGUUAAUUUAAUUACUCCAUAUACAUAAAUAUCUAGUUUCAGCUUGCAUUGGCUGGGCUGAACUACUGGAUAUAGUGAAGUUAGUUGUGUGUAAAUUAAUUCAGACUAAUUUGGCAGUGCUAUUAGGUUUAACAAUACGAGGAGAAGAGAAUUCAAUCACUUGGUUAUUGCAUUCUUCUUUUUUUAAAGAUUACUUUUUAAAGAAAAAUAUACAUUUGUCUCAAGAACCAAGGUAAAUAAUACACAAUGGCAAUCGUGUGUUCAGUGUAUGGAAAUGAACACAGGCAGCUCAAGAGGAAAAUUCUAGCACUUUCAUUUCUUGAUUUGGUUUUCAUUAUCAGCACUCUGGUUUUCGUCAUGAUGCAGCUCGUUAGUGUGGGUCAUCUCUAUGCAAAUUAUGCAAACAGCCAAAAUGAAACGGACUUUUUGACAAGUGCAAAUUCAGCUUUAUCUGACAGCCAAAAUGGGGAGCUAGCCUUGUCGCUAACCGAGCCCCAUAAGGACGACGACUCUGUAAAUCCAUCCUCACAAGCAGGAGAUUGCAAUUCUACGUCCGCUUCCGGUGACCCACGUUGUGAAACUUCAGAAGAAAAUAACCAAAAUGAUGACGUUUUGACGUCUCGAACAGUAAUCGGAGCCCGGAUAUCUUUAUCAAUCCAGUUGAUUAUCUAUUUGGCACAGUUCGGUUUCGGGAUUUUACUUUUCAUUGCUUCGUAUCAUAAUGACUCUAGGAAUCUUCACUUGUGGGUACUAUUUAGUGAAAUAAUGGUGGUCAUCGUUGGUCUCAAUUUGUUUAUAAACUUUUUUGGUAAAUUCUUGUGGUUAUCUGCAUUACUUACAACGCUGUAUAUUGUAUUUAAAAUAGUCUUAAUUCGUUUGGUUCGGAAAUUUAUUAAAGUUAAUGAUCUCGCACUUACGCAAUUCGGCUCAGUGGGCGAGUUUGACUAGAAAUAAUAACGUCGUUAUUAAAAAUACGUUUGAGUAUUAUAAAAACCCUUAGAUUUACAUAUUAUUACAUAUGUAAAUAUGUUGUAUGUGUAACUGGAAUAAACCGGAAUUCGAAUGAUGGAUCCAUCUGUUUUUACGUGUAUAGAUUUAUGACUACAAUAAUAAAAUAAAAACGUCAAGUAUGCAAUGUAUAGUAAAUCUUUGUAUUAUAAAAUAAUCAAGACAAAGUGAAAUGUAAUAAAUUUCUGUUGACUGGAAAUGCAAAAA